UACGAAGGGGGCGAGCGUUGUUCGGAUUUACUGGGCGUAAAGGGCGCGUAGGCGGCGGGUCAAGUCGAGUGUGAAAGCCCCGGGCUCAACCUGGGAAUUGCGCUCGAGAUUGGUCUGCUUGAGUUCGGGAGAGGAGAGUGGAAUUCCCAGUGUAGAGGUGAAAUUCGUAGAUAUUGGGAAGAACACCGGUGGCGAAGGCGGCUCUCUGGACCGAGACUGACGCUGAGGCGCGAAAGCGUGGGGAGCAAACAGG
rnacentral:rRNA from 1 species